AGAGUUUGAUCAUGGCUCAGAACGAACGCUGGCGGCGUGGAUAAGACAUGCAAGUCGGACGGGAUUUUCCGUUGUAGCAAUACGAUGGAAAGUCUAGUGGCGAACGGGUGCUUAACACGUGGGCAACCUGCCAGGAAGUGGGGGAUAGCUCGCCGAAAGGCGAAUUAAUACCGCAUGUGAUUAGAGAGGACAUCCUUUCGAAAUUAAAGUCGGGGCAACCUGACGCUUCUUGUGGGGCCCGCGGCCUAUCAGCUAGUUGGUGAGGUAAUGGCUCACCAAGGCUUUGACGGGUAGCUGGUCUGAGAGGACGACCAGCCACACUGGGACUGAGACACGGCCCAGACACCUACGGGUGGCAGCAGUCGAGAAUUUUUGACAAUGGGGGAAACCCUGAUCGAGCGACGCCGCGUGGAGGAUGAAGGUCUUCGGAUUGUAAACUCCUGUCAUUGGGGAACAAGGUGCAUACGUUAACUGCGUGUGCAUUGAUAGUACCCGAAGAGGAAGAGACGGCUAACUCUGUGCCAGCAGCCGCGGUAAUACAGAGGUCUCAAGCGUUGUUCGGAUUCAUUGGGCGUAAAGGGUGCGUAGGCGGCGCGGUAAGUCGGGUGUGAAAUCUCGGAGCUUAACUCCGAAACUGCAUUCGAUACUGCCGUGCUUGAGGACUGGAGAGGAGACUGGAAUUUACGGUGUAGCGGUGAAAUGCGUAGAUAUCGUAAGGAAGACCAGUGGCGAAGGCGGGUCUCUGGACAGUUCCUGACGCUGAGGCACGAAGGUCAGGGGAGCAAACGGGAUUAGAUACCCUAGUAGUCC
rnacentral:rRNA from 1 species